rnacentral:lncRNA from 1 species
GACUAGUAGACUUCACAAUAGGGUGACCAGAUGGCUGGAAGGCUGUUUUUACUGGGAAUCCUUAAAUAGCAUUUUAUGGGGAUCUUUUCCUAGAAGCAGAGGAUGUGGGUGAGGAAGAAUCUCAGUGUAUCCAGAGAAGAAUCUUCCGUUGCCUGCCUGGAUGGAAGUGACACCGAGCUGCUCGUCUUCUCACAGCAGCAGCUGCCAGGGGCAGCCCACGAUCAAGGACCAGCUGCCACCAGGGAAGUUCCGGAUGUGGCCGAGUAUUUCAGUCACUGCAUUCUUCCCAGGCAGUUCACUCUCGGGACAGUUGCCAAGGAGGUGUGAAGGAGAAGGCAGAAAGAAGACUUCCUUUGGGGGGUGCAGUGGGACAACUGAGCUGCAGUUGACUGAGCCCUUGCUGUGUGCUCUCCGUGCUAACGUCCCACAGCUCCUUGAAUCCAGGUACACUCCUGUGAGCCUGGACUAGUGCAGUCUCCACUCACAGAGAAAAAUGAGGCACAGAGAGGUCGGGUCACUCGCCCCAGCCUGCACCUGGGUGUCUAACUGUGUCGUUAAUCUCUCCCCUUACUGCCUCCCAUCAGUGUGGCAUAACGCUCGGCCAGAGCAGUCAGUUUUGGAAAUCACAUCCAGGCUAAAUGACCUCAACCCACCACCAUGAGCAGAACUGGCCGACCCUGUGUUCCUUCAGGAGCCUCCCAGGCCUCUCACUAAGCAUCCUUGGGCACCUCUGAGUUCCUGUGGGUGCAGUGGGGAGGCGGUCAGCGGCAUCAGCCCAGGCAGCAGGAUUCCCCUGUGUGCGUCUGCAGUGGAGCUAGCCUUCAUUAGAGAGCAAGGCAGGUCCUGGAGCCCACAGGGUCCUCUUUCUCUCCCCUGCACCAAACUUGCCCCCACCCCAACCUCACAAGGAUGGGGCAAUCUGCCUGAGAGCAGGC